AGAUUUCUUCUAAAAGCAUUUCUGAACAUCGCAGACUUCAUGGCUCUUUAGUGGUGUGAAUGUGGAAGUGUAAAGUCUGUGAUGUACCAGUAUCGAGCAGGUACCAUUGGCCGACUACUUGGUCGGACCUCUCAGAUGGUGACGUUGAAAAGAAGAAUACACAUUAAAGCUCCAUUUCAGCUCAAAGUCUUGGAGAAUCCGGGUUGUGCACACAAAUGCCUGCUUCUAAG